UACGGAGGAUGCAAGCGUUAUCCGGAAUGAUUGGGCGUAAAGCGUCCGCAGGUGGCUAUGUAAGUCUGCUGUUAAAGAGUGAGGCUCAACCUCAUAAGAGCAGUGGAAACUACAUGGCUAGAGUGCGUUCGGGGCAGAGGGAAUUCCUGGUGUAGCGGUGAAAUGCGUAGAUACCAGGAAGAACACCGGUGGCGAAAGCGCUCUGCUGGGCCGCAACUGACACUGAGGGACGAAAGCUAGGGGAGCGAAUGGG
rnacentral:rRNA from 1 species